rnacentral:rRNA from 1 species
GAGUUUGAUCCUGGCUCAGAUUGAACGCUGGCGGCAGGCCUAACACAUGCAAGUCGAACGGCAGCACAGAAGAGCUUGCUCUUUGGGUGGCGAGUGGCGGACGGGUGAGUAAUGUCUGGGAAACUGCCCGAUGGAGGGGGAUAACUACUGGAAACGGUAGCUAAUACCGCAUAACGUCGCAAGACCAAAGUGGGGGACCUUCGGGCCUCACACCAUCGGAUGUGCCCAGAUGGGAUUAGCUAGUAGGUGGGGUAAUGGCUCACCUAGGCGACGAUCCCUAGCUGGUCUGAGAGGAUGACCAGCCACACUGGAACUGAGACACGGUCCAGACUCCUACGGGAGGCAGCAGUGGGGAAUAUUGCACAAUGGGCGCAAGCCUGAUGCAGCCAUGCCGCGUGUAUGAAGAAGGCCUUCGGGUUGUAAAGUACUUUCAGCGGGGAGGAAGGCGGUGAGGUUAAUAACCUCGCCGCUUGACGUUACCCGCAGAAGAAGCACCGGCUAACUCCGUGCCAGCAGCCGCGGUAAUACGGAGGGUGCAAGCGUUAAUCGGAAUUACUGGGCGUAAAGCGCACGCAGGCGGUCUGUUAAGUCAGAUGUGAAAUCCCCGGGCUUAACCUGGGAACUGCAUUUGAAACUGGCAGGCUUGAGUCUCGUAGAGGGGGGUAGAAUUUCCAGGUGUAGCGGUGAAAUGCGUAGAGAUCUGGAGGAAUACCGGUGGCGAAGGCGGCCCCUGGACGAAGACUGACGCUCAGGUGCGAAAGCGUGGGGAGCAAACAGGAUUAGAUACCCUGGUAGUCCACGCCGUAAACGAUGUCGACUUGGAGGUUGUGCCCUUGAGGCGUGGCUUCCGGAGCUAACGCGUUAAGUCGACCGCCUGGGGAGUACGGCCGCAAGGUUAAAACUCAAAUGAAUUGACGGGGGCCCGCACAAGCGGUGGAGCAUGUGGUUUAAUUCGAUGCAACGCGAAGAACCUUACCUGGCCUUGACAUCCAGAGAACUUAGCAGAGAUGUUUUGGUGCCUUCGGGAACUCUGAGACAGGUGCUGCAUGGCUGUCGUCAGCUCGUGUUGUGAAAUGUUGGGUUAAGUCCCGCAACGAGCGCAACCCUUAUCCUUUGUUGCCAGCGGUUCGGCCGGGAACUCAAAGGAGACUGCCGGUGAUAAACCGGAGGAAGGUGGGGAUGACGUCAAGUCAUCAUGGCCCUUACGGCCAGGGCUACACACGUGCUACAAUGGCGCAUACAAAGAGAAGCGACCUCGCGAGAGCAAGCGGACCUCAUAAAGUGCGUCGUAGUCCGGAUUGGAGUCUGCAACUCGACUCCAUAAAGUCGGAAUCGCUAGUAAUCGUAGAUCAGAAUGCUACGGUGAAUACGUUCCCGGGCCUUGUACACACCGCCC